GAUGAACGCUGGCGGCGUGCUUAACACAUGCAAGUCGAACGGGAAUUACUUUAUUGAAACUUCGGUCGAUUUAAUUUAAUUCUAGUGGCGGACGGGUGAGUAACGCGUGGGUAACCUGCCUUAUACAGGGGGAUAACAGUCAGAAAUGACUGCUAAUACCGCAUAAGCGCGCAGAGCUGCAUGGCUCAGUGCGAAAAACUCCGGUGGUAUAAGAUGGACCCGCGUUGGAUUAGCUAGUUGGUGAGGUAACGGCCCACCAAGGCGACGAUCCAUAGCCGGCCUGAGAGGGUGAACGGCCACAUUGGGACUGAGACACGGCCCAGACUCCUACGGGAGGCAGCAGUGGGGAAUAUUGCACAAUGGGGGAAACCCUGAUGCAGCGACGCCGCGUGAAGGAAGAAGUAUCUCGGUAUGUAAACUUCUAUCAGCAGGGAAGAAUUAGGACGGUACCUGACUAAGAAGCCCCGGCUAACUACGUGCCAGCCGCCGCAGUAAUAC
rnacentral:rRNA from 1 species